CACUGACAUUAGAUACCCGCGUAGUCCAGGGUGUAAACGCUGCAGACUUGGUGUUGGAGGCCCUUUGGGGGCAUUCAGUGCCGGAGAGAAGUUGUUAAGUCUGCUACUUGGGGAGUACGUCCGCAAGGAUGAAACUUAAAGGAAUUGGCGGGGGAGCACCGCAACGGGAGGAGCGUGCGGUUUAAUUGGAUUCAACACCGUAAACUCACCAGGGAAGACUGUUACAUGAAGGCCGAGAUGAAGACUCUGCUAGAUUUUCAG
rnacentral:rRNA from 1 species